rnacentral:snRNA from 1 species
GUGCUCACUUCGGCAGCACAUAUACUAAACUUGGAACAAUACAGAGAAGAUUAGCAUGGCCCCUGGGCAAAUUUGUGAAGACUUCCAUAUUUUU